AAAAUGAACUAAUCACGACGUCAUAUUUCAGAAAGCUGUGGGGAAGGAGGUGGAGACGAGGAAGGAAAAUCCUAACGCCCUUAACCACCUCAUAAAUAAAUAAAUAAAUACGCGAAUCACACACAGGACGGAUUUCUGCUACAUUCAAAUUAAAACCUGAUUGAUCAAAGAAGACAGUGAAAAGCGAUGGAAACAACGACGACGAAAACGACGAAGGUGAAGGUGAGGAUAGUGGAGAGAGAAGGUGGUUCAGAUGGAAGUAGUGGAAGCUGGGAGAGCAGUGGCGGAGGCGGCGGCAGUGGUGGUGGUGGUGAUGGCGGAGGAGAAGAGAGGGGGAUUCAUGUGUAUUCUGGCUGGGUUUAUCAUUUGGGGACGAACUCGAUAGGGCGUCAGUAUUGUCAUUUGAGAUUCUUGUUUAUUAAAGGAAAAUAUGUUCAGAUGUACAAGCGUGAUCCUCAGGAUCAUCCUGGCAUCAAACAUAUCAGGAAGGGUGUAAUAGGGCCUACACUUAAGGUGGAGGAGCUAGGGCGUCGAAAAGUCAAUCAUGGGGAUAUUUAUGUUUUACGGUUUUACAAUCGAUUGGAUGAGACAAAAAAAGGAGAAAUUGCUUGUGCUACAGCUGGAGAGGUUAAACAAUGGAUGGAAGCAUUUGAUCAGGGGAAGCAACAGGCUGAAUUUGAACUUGCAAGAGGACUUAGUGCCAGAAACAAGCUGAACAUGGAGGCAGAGAUUAUCAAUCUUGAAGGACAUCGACCUAGAGUGAGGAGAUAUGCUUACGGAUUGAAAAAGUUCAUAAGAAUAGGGCAAGGUCCAGAAACACUUCUUCGGCAAUCCUCAAACUUGGCUGCUAAGAUUAGGCCUGAUAGGUAUGAGGGUGAGGUUGGAGAUGCAAUCGACUUUCAUCAAUGGAAAUGUGUUCGUACAGCUAAUGGUGUUCGAAUCUUUGAGGAUGUGUCCAAUUCCAAGAAUGGUAAAGGUGUUCUUGUGAAAGCUGUUAGUGUGAUUGAGGCCAGUGCUGAUACUGUUUUUGAAGUGAUUUUGAACCUUGACCAACAUCAAAGAUAUGAGUGGGAUAUGUUGACAGGCGACUUGGAGCUGUUAGAUUCUUAUGAUGGACACUAUGAUGUUGUCUAUGGGACAUGUGAUUCCAAUUAUCUUUCCCGGUGGAAAUCAAAUAGAGAUUUUGUCUUCUCUAGGCAAUGGUUUCAUGGACAAGACGGAACAUACACAAUUUUGCAACUUCCUGCUGUGCAUAAGGAGCGACCUCCAAGAUCUGGAUAUCAGCGGGAGAAAAUCAACCCUUCUACAUGGGAGAUUAGAGAUUUAAAUACACCCAUGGAGUCAAAUACAGCAAGAUGUCUUGUGAUGCAAAUGUUAGAGAUACAAGAAGCAGGAUGGUGCAGAUGGAAGAGAAGUCGUGGCUCAAAGUUUGAGAAGACUAUUUCUUUUGCAUUAUUAUCUCAAGUGGAAGGUCUGAAAGAAUAUAUUGCAGCAAAUCCAGCAUUCAAAUUUGAACAUUCCACUACAGUCAUCAAUUCUAGAAUUUCUGAUGGUGCCAUCUCUAGCAGUGAAUAUGAGGAUUCUGAAGUGCAAGAUGAGUUUUAUGAUGCAAUGGCUGAUGACUCAUCAUCAUCAUCAUCAUCAGAAGAAGAAGAGAGCGAUGAUGACCAUGAAAAAGUCAAGGGAGUGAAAGUUAAACUGAGGAAUGUUUCAUGGGCCAUCACAGGCUUGGCAUUGAAGCGAGCUCCAGAUCCAGAUGCAAGGAAGGACUUGGAUCCAUGUAUAGCUCCAAUCAAUAUUGAUCCAAGCCAAUUUCAUGGUUCUCUCAACAAAGGAAAGGAUGAAAAUGAUUCAAACUGUUGGACUUCUCCAAGCGGCACAGGAUUUAUGGUUAGAGGAAAGAGUUAUCUAAAAGAUAGCUCUAAGGUAAUGGGAGGAGAUCCCCUACUCAAGCUCAUUUCAGUUGACUGGUUCAAGGUUGACAAGGCCAUAGAUGGGAUUUCACUUCAUCCCAGGUGUCUGGUGCAGACUGAAGCUGGAAAAAAGCUCCCCUUCAUUCUGGUUAUCAAUCUCCAGAUUCCAUCAAAACCAAACUACAGUUUGGUUCUCUACUAUGCUGCAGACAGGCCAAUAAACAAAAGUUCUUUGUUGGGUAAAUUUGUUGAUGGCACAGACUUGUUUCGGGAUUCAAGAUUCAAAUUAAUUCCUAGCAUUGUUGAGGGAUAUUGGAUGGUCAAGCGCGCAGUUGGAACAAAAGCUUGCCUAUUGGGGAAAGCAGUAACCUGCAAGUACCUCAGACAAGAUAAUUUUCUAGAGAUUGCUGUUGAUAUUGGCUCAUCAUCUGUGGCAAGAGGGGUCAUUGGUCUUGUCCUUGGAUAUGUCACAAGCUUAGUAGUUGAACUUGCAAUUUUGAUAGAGGCAAAAGAGGAGGCAGAUCUGCCUGAGUAUAUUCUCGGGACCGUCCGGCUAAAUCGUCUAAGGAUUGACACAGCUGUACCUUUGGAGGUUUAAGGUUUUCAAUUGUCAACAUUCUCCAUUCAUCAGAUUCCUGUCCGGCUAAAUCAUCCAAGGAUCAACACAGCUGUACCUUUGGAGGUUUAAGGUUUUCAAUUGUCAGCGCUUAAGGUUUUCAAUUGUCACCGUUCUCCAUUCAUCGUGUAUUCCUGUGAUCGAUGCUGUUAUUUUUGGGGCUUCACUCGCUCUGAUAUCUCUGAUCCGAUAAAAGAUCGCAACAGACAUAUUAUAGUGCUUUGUUUAGAUGUAUUUAUAACACAUGGACAGAUGGAAUGGGUUUCUACAUGGUGAGCUAUAAGCGCAGUUGAAGAUUGAUCAGGUGUGAAAGAUCCCACAUAAGUUUGGUUCGGUAGGAUUUACAAGGAGAAUUAGACUUGAGUUGAUGCUCAGCCUUUUACCGGAAUCGCUCAUUUGAUUGUCGGAUUGGAAAACUAGUGGUAGAGUAUCUGCAAACUCUGGUAGAUACCAUCUUGUAUCCAAAUUAUUCAGCUCUUCAUUUGUCUGAAUGCUAUUUUUAAAAGAACAUCUAAGCUAUUUGCAUCUCGUGGUUCUUGCUUUGCCAAGGUAAAGAAAACAGGAAUUUGUGUAACCAAACAAGAAUGGACUGAUUGUUUUCUUU